AACCUCCGCAAUGUGAGAAAUCGCGACGGGGGGAUCCCAAGUGCCAUUCUUAACGGGAUGGCUUUUCAUUAGUGUAAAAAGCUUUUGGAAUAAGAGCUGGGCAAGACCGGUGCCAGCCGCCGCGGUAACACCGGCAGCUCUAGUGGUAGCAAUUUUUAUUGGGCCUAAAGCGCCCGUAGCCGGUUUAAUAAGUCUCUGGUGAAAUCCUGUAGCUUAACUGUGGGAAUUGCUGGAGAUACUAUUAGACUUGAGACCGGGAGAGGUUAGAGGUACUCCCAGGGUAGAGGUGAAAUUCUGUAAUCCUGGGAGGACCGCCUGUUGCGAAGGCGUCUAACUGGAACGGUUCUGACGGUGAGGGACGAAAGUUAAGGGCGCGAACCGGAUUAGAUACCCGGGUAGUCCUAACUGUAAACGAUGCGGACUUGGGGUUGGGGUGGCUUUGAGCUGCUCCAGUGCCGAAGGGAAGCUGUUAAGUCCGCCGCCUGGGAAGUACGGUCGCAAGACUAGAAUUUAAAGGAAUU
rnacentral:rRNA from 1 species